rnacentral:rRNA from 1 species
AGUGAACGCUGGCGGUAGGCCUAACACAUGCAAGUCGAACGGCAGCACAGUAAGAGCUUGCUCUUACGGGUGGCGAGUGGCGGACGGGUGAGGAAUACAUCGGAAUCUACUUUUUCGUGGGGGAUAACGUAGGGAAACUUACGCUAAUACCGCAUACGACCUACGGGUGAAAGCAGGGGAUCUUCGGACCUUGCGCGAUUGAAUGAGCCGAUGUCGGAUUAGCUAGUUGGCGGGGUAAAGGCCCACCAAGGCGACGAUCCGUAGCUGGUCUGAGAGGAUGAUCAGCCACACUGGAACUGAGACACGGCCCAGACUCCUACGGGAGGCAGCAGUGGGGAAUAUUGGACAAUGGGCGCAAGCCUGAUCCAGCCAUACCGCGUGGGUGAAGAAGGCCUUCGGGUUGUAAAGCCCUUUUGUUGGGAAAGAAAAGCAGCAGGUUAAUACCCCGCUGUUCUGACGGUACCCAAAGAAUAAGUACCGGCUAACUUCGUG